rnacentral:rRNA from 1 species
GAUGAACGCUGGCGGCGUGCCUAAUACAUGCAAGUCGAACGAAACUUCUUUAUCACCGAGUGCUUGCACUCACCGAUAAAGAGGUGAGUGGCGAACGGGUGAGUAACACGUGGGCAACCUGCCCAAAAGAGGGGGAUAACACUUGGAAACAGGUGCUAAUACCGCAUAACCAUAGUUACCGCAUGGUAACUAUGUAAAAGGUGGCUAGACUACCGCUUUUGGAGGGGCCCGCGGCGCAUUAGCUAGUUGGUAGGGUAAAGGCUUACCAAGGCAAUGAUGCGUAGCCGGAUUGAGAGGUUGAUCGGCCACAUUGGGACUGAGACACGGCCCAAACUCCUGCGGGAGGCAGCAGUAGGGAAUCUUCCACAAUGGGCGAAAGCCUGAUGGAGCAACGCCGCGUGGGUGAAGAAGGUCUUCGGAUCGUAAAGCCCUGUUGUUAGAGAAGAAAGUGCGUGAGAGUAACUGUUCACGUUUCGACGGUAUCUAACCGGAAAGCCCCGGCUAACUACGUG